AUCCACUCUGUCCUUCCACUCUCCCUACUUGAAAAGGCCUUGGGGACAUCAGAAAGCAGGCCAGGAGGAGGAGGCAGCACUGCGUGGAGAAAGGGAGAUAGAGUGAAGCCUGCCCCUCGCCCAGCCCACCCCCGCUGAGCUCUCAAGCUGUUUCCAAACUAGGUUCCACCUCCAGUGCCCAUCUGGCCUGGCUGCUGGAGGGCAGUUGGGCAGUUUGAGAGACCUAUGUGAGGCCAGGAAGAGGUGUUUUGUGGACCAUUGGCUUUGGGGUCAUCUGAAGUAGAUACUGGAGAGAGACAGAGAGAGACAGAGAGAGGAUGAAAAGGUGAAGCCCAUUUGGUGGACAUGGGACCUCUCAUCAGCCCUCAGCUGUCUCCACAAACAGUCCUGAGAGCUGAGUGGAAUACCACGGGAGAGGAGCUGUGAUGAAUUAGGUCAAGGGAACAGCUGAUGCAUGGGACUGUCAGUCCUGUGAGAGACCCAGCCGGGGAUAUGCUCCUGGGACAUGCAGCAUGGAUGGCUCUGGCCUUGUAGGAAGAAGAGAAAUGGCUCCACAAGGAGGAGCCCUGAGAAGCAAACACAGCUCACACCAUCAUCUGUCAGGAUUAGCUUGACCUGGGUCUGGUUCCACGCUGCAGCCUGGGCCACAAGGCAGAGCAACACUCCGUGGCUCCUGUGUGAAUCGAGCUGACAACCCCAGUCUUGUUCCUUUGGUCCCCAUCAAAAUCGUACUGGACAACUACAGACCUCUGCAGAGCAAGAAAAGCUCGAGAGCAAGGGCUGCCCAUGGCCUCAAUCCAUCAGGACAAGACAAGAGGCUACUGACGUAUGUUUCUUAUUGGUCUGUUUGUCGGUUCACUGUUUUGAUCAUUGGUUUAUUCACUCAUUUGCUCCUUGAUUCUCUCAUUUAGCCACUCAUUCAGUAACAUGCUUAUCCCUGCUUUGUUCCAAAAUGGAUUUAAGGUGAAACCAAUUUAUCCCAAAGAGGACAUUUUUAAGGUACAGACAACGGGGUGUGGACAAAUAAACAGUUACAAUACAAUUGCACACCUGUUGUCUUUCUAGUGAUCAUGGCUGAGUAUAUUCUAUCUUACUAUCAGUCAGUCCCUAAACACUGCAAAAAUUUGUUUUCAUAGCUGUUUAUAUUCUGUGUAUUCUAAUGACAUCUCACUAAUUGUCAUACCAUUCCUCAACAACCAAAAAUUGCUCCCCAGAUUAAGGCUGAUGCAGCUGCAGCCCCCUGUCCCCCACCCUCAGCCUUUGUUGUCUGAAAACCUGCUCCUCCCACCCAAACAAUGGCCUUGGGAUUUUGCUCUCUCCUUUUUUUUUUUUUUUUAAGAUUUUAUUUAUUCAUUUGAAAGAGAGAGAGAGUGAGCGGGAGGGCGUGGGGCAGAGGGGGAAGCAGACUCCCCACUGAGCAGGGAGCCGGACACGGGACUCAAUCCCAGGACCCUGAGAUCAUGACCUGAACCAAAGGCAGACCCUUAAUCGGCUGAGCCCCCCAGGCGCUCCUGCUCUCUCCUUUCAAACAGAAGAACUUACAAACAUGUCAAUGAGAAUGAAUGUUAAACCAGUCAGUAGACAAUUUUUAAAUGCAACUUGCAAACUACAGGUAAAAGGCAACAUUUGCAGAGAUCCCCCUCCGGGUCUAGUUCCCAUUAGCUCAGUGAGAGUCCUUUGUUUCGCUUUUCUCCACCCUGGGCACAAGCCAGGGUUUCUGCCUUCACUGAGGAGCUGCCGGUGAACCAGGACUUCUCUGGGUUUACUCAGAAAGAGACCCUUGUUCUCUUGACCUUCCACGUUUCAUGAAAGAGCUGAUUCCAAGCUAAGCCCUGUCCAGAGGACUAUGGGAAAUGCAUUUACUCUCAAGAGCAAGAGCUUUCUGCUGGGGAAAUAGGGAUUCCGCUGCCUGCCCUGCCCCUCUCCUCAGGCUGGCUGGGAGACGCCGAGCCCUGUGAAGCGUACGCGAGUCAAGAGAGCGAGGAUUCCUCCUCACACACCCAUCUUCUGCCUGCUUCUCUUUGUUCUGUGUCCACCUGCACCCUGGAGGUUUUGCUGUGGUCAAGGUACUUUAAAUGGAAUAUUUGGUGCCCCAAACGUGCAUUACAACGUGACGAAGAGGAGGAACAGACGUCUGUAUAAACCAACAUAAGAAUGAAGCCAAUCUCAGGUGCUGGGGUUGGGAGUCGAACCCUGCGAUCCUCCAGCUACAAGUGACAUUUGAGACUACCCAGGCCAAUCCCUUGCCUUUGAAGGAUGGAGACCCCUGGCUCCAGGUCACCCCAGUUCGUGAAAAACCAAGACCCGGGAGCCACUCUCUUUGUCUCUCCAGGCACAGACUGAGGGGUUAAUUAUGGAUGGAUCAAACAAAGAGCAGCCCAUAGAGACCCCCAAAAGCAAAGCAUUCCAUCAGGAUGAAAAAAAGACUGUCGGCAAACUCAGAAAGAGGAGGGAGAUGAAGUGGGAGAGAGGGACAAGAAGACGGAGUUGAGCAGAGAAGCUGAGAUUUCAUGGAAAACAAAUGAAGGAAGAUUCUGGCCCAUUAGACUCAUGGUGGUGAAACCUGUAGGCUUUUGACGCUGCUUAGUUGAAGCACUGGUCCCUUUCUAAGAGGCAGUUGACUCAACAUUUUGAGCCUUAGUUUCCCCACCUGUAAAUAGGAUAAUUGUACCUCUCCUGAAGAGUCAUGAGUAGCUGGUGCAUGAGGUAGUUGGUGUUUUCCCAGGCUUCAUCAGCCGGUGUGGUCACGCUGACAAGAAGCACUCUGUUGGGGGCGCCUGGGUGGCUCAGUUGGUUAAGCGACUGCCUUCGGCUCAGGUCAUGAUCCCGGAGUCCCUGGAUCGAGUCCCGCAUCGGGCUCCCUGCUCGGCAGGGAGUCUGCUUCUCCCUCUGACCCUCCCCCCUCUCAUGUGCUCUCUCUCUCACAAAUAAAUAAAAUCUUUAAAAAAAAAAAAAAGCACUCUGUUGGUGGGAACUAUGGUAUGAUUCUAAACACCUCCUUUUGGAGGACCUGGGUGGUUCAGUCGCUUAAGUGUCUGCCUUCGGCUCAGGUCAUGGUCCCAGGGUCCUGGGAUCGAGCCCUGCGUCGGGCUCCCUGCUCCACGGGAAGCCUGCUUCUCCCUCUCCCUCUGCUCCUCCCCCCAGGUUGUGCGCGCAUGGACGCGUC